UACUAGAGUAGCACUCGCAUAUCAAUAAGCGGAGGAAAAGAAACUAACAAGGAUUCCCCUAGUAACGGCGAGUGGAGCGGGAAGAGCUCAAAUUUGAAAUCUUAAAGGGUUUCCCUUUACGAAUUGUAGUUUAAAGAAGUGUUUUCUGUUGAGGUUUUGGUAAAAGUUCUUUGGAAUAGGACAUCAUAGAGGGUGAGAAUCCCGUAUUUGACCUUUACUUUCAACUUUGUGAUACACUUUCAAAGAGUCGGAUUGUUUGGGAAUGCAGUCCAAAAUGGGUGGUAAAUUUCAUCUAAAGCUAAAUAUUGGCGAGAGACCGAUAGCGAACAAGUACCGUGAGGGAAAGAUGAAAAGAACUUUGAAAAGAGAGUUAAACAGUACGUGAAAUUGUCAAAAGGGAAGCGUUUGACACCAGUGUUGUUUUUCUGAAAAUCAAUUAAAGAACUGUUUAUGCUAAGCUGUUUAGACUUUAUCAGCUAUCUGUUUAGUUUUGAGCUUUUCUUUAAUGCACUUUUCAGUUAACAAGUCAACAUCAAUUCCUUUUGCUGUAAAAAAGCUUGAGGAAGGUGGCUUGAGAUUCGUCUUAAGUGUUUAUAGCCUCUUGCCUAUGCAGUCGGAGAGAUUGAGGUCUGCAGCGUAGAUCCUUCGGGGCUAAAUGCAUUUGUGCUAAGUUAUAGCAUUUUAUAGACAACUUGUUGACUAUGAUUUGUCUUGUAGCUUACUCGCUUAUGUUAUUUUACCUACGCUUAGGAUGUUGAAGACUCUACAGAGAUA
rnacentral:rRNA from 1 species